rnacentral:lncRNA from 1 species
AUAGUCUUUUUAGUCGUAACAGUCAAAGGUCUAAUCGUAUUUUAAAAAAAAAUCGCGUCUUUUUAAUCAUUUCAAACAAAAUUUCGACAGGGAGGUUACUUUGGAGUACCUCAUUUUGGUUUCCGAAAGAGACAAUUUUUAAUUUUAUUAAUUCAUUUUCUCCAUCUUUAUUAUUAUCUUUGAUUCUCAUAAUUUAAUUUCCUCUUUUAUUUUUU